rnacentral:rRNA from 1 species
CGAACCGUGCGAACGUUGUUCGGAAUCACUGGGCUUAAAGGGCGCGUAGGCGGGCGAGCAAGUGCGGGGUGAAAUCUUUCGGCUCAACCGGAAAAGGGCCUCGGAGACUGCUCGUCUGGAGGGAGGUAGGGGCAGGUGGAACUGCUGGUGGAGCGGUGAAAUGCGUUGAUAUCAGCAGGAACGCCGGUGGCGAAAGCGACCUGCUGGACCUCUUCUGACGCUGAGGCGCGAAAGCGUGGGUAGCAAACAGG